ACCCAGAACGAAUAGCAGACUUUCAGAUAAAGAAAAUCUACGUAAUAACAAAUUACCCACUCAGUAACAGCAACCAAACUAAGGUUUUACCUUUGGGGUAGUGGUGACAUGAGAGGUGGAAGACGGGAGAAAGCUGUCUGAAGGACUACCCUGCCCAGGCAAAGCACACACAGGAUCUGCCUCCCCCAGCACCCAGAGGUGCACCAGGGAGGACCCUCUGCCACUGCAUGCAGGGCUGGGCCCUGGCUCAUCAUGAAUACAGCAGUUCCUGGCUUGUGGGAUUCAACAAAGCAGGACCAAUGACUGCCUUUCUUCGUGUUAGGUGGUGUGCGAGAGGAUGCAUCACACACACGGAGUGAGAGAACUGUAUAAAAGAUUUCCUAAGUGGCUGUGAUAGAUCUCUCCACAACGGCUUGGCACAUGCUGUAUGUACUAAUAGCUUGUCAUGAAAGGAUGAUCAAUGCUCUGGAGCACCAGCCAUAGGCUGUGGAGCAUCAGGUUCACCCAGAGGCUCUGCACAAAUGCUGUGGCAAGUGGCAACCUCCUUAUGCUUCAAUUUGUCAUCUAAGAAAUGAAAAUAACAGCUCUGCCUCCCCAGCAGUGUUGCACAACCAACCAUGUUAAAGUUCUGCUAGUAAACACCAGGGCAAGACAAGCAGCCCAAACACAGAUGAACAGGAGGGAUGCAUAUGGGCCAGCACAGAAACCUCACAUUUACAACUCAUUUUCAAAAGAGACUUUGGCUAUGUCUGAUCCCAAGACAAAUCAAGCCCAAAAAAUAAUUGCAGAGGGCACUCAGACAGACAGACAGAUGAUCACUACUGAAAAUGGAUUGUAAGAACUUCAGGCAUGAUUGAAUCUACUAUUGAAAUACGGAGCCGACAUUUGAAAAAGACAAAAUAAAUGUCUACAAAUGGAGACCAAUUCUAGAGCAAAGCUUUUGUGAAAAAAAAAAAAAAAUUAAGAAGGUUCAAGGUGGCUUUCAUACAGGAUAGGCAAAUAUAAGUGAGUAAGAACCAAUGAGAAAACUCUUUCAAACACAAACAUCAACUACCUAGCAUGUGAUUUUGUUCUUUUGGGACUACUGAAAAAUCCUCCACUUACUGAAGUGAUAAUAGUACUGAGCUUUCAAUUUCAACUGACCAAUGUCAUGCCAUCCUCAAUUUAUCUCUCACAUAGAAACCAGUUUCCAGUAAAGAAUCUCUACAAAAAUAGUGCAUUGAGUACUGUGGUCUUAAAAUUCUGAGGGUGCCAGCAAACUCAAAGAUUGACAAAGCUGUGAUCAACACUGGCAAAACAAGUUGGAAGACAAAGUUCAGCUCCAGUCCCAAACAUAACUCUGCAGGAAAAAGAAAAUAUUAACUAACCACAAGUAGAAGUUUCAAGUCUUUUGAUCCGAAGUCAUCAUUCUGUAUUUAAUUCUGGUUUAUGCCUUCUUCCCUCCACACCCCAAUUUCAAAUUCUUUUUUUUUUACUCUGGAAAAUGGAGUUUAAGUAUAGUUAUCUGUUAUUCUUGCUGAUCAAUACCAUCUGUGGCAAAAGACUAGGGAGCUAUACUGGACAGAUUAGACUUUGAAAGGCUUUUAAAAUUACCAAGAAAUCAAGUGCAACAUACAGUUCUGUUGACUGGUCUGGAUUAACUCCCAAAAUUGGCUGAUAGAAAGAUGUGAGAAUCUUUCCAAAAAGUUAAAACCUGUAGCUAAUAAAACCAGCUGUAAUGUGAAAAAUUAGGUCCUUCUCUCUUUAAAUCAUAACCCAUAGAGGCACUGAAGUAAAUCCCUUAAUCUCUUUUUAAGUAGCUAUUUUAUCCCAACUUCCUCUGUGGUUUAUAACCUCAAAGCAUCUACACCACAACUCAAGAACAGCCUACACAAGGAGCUUCAAGUUUAUUUUCUUCAAAAAGCAUCUAAAAUAAAAAUUUUAAAAAAAAAUUAAGAAGAAAAAACUUACAAAACCCACCACCAAAAUGAAGCACAAAAAAACCCCAACUCCAGAACAAAAUAAAAAAAGUCUGAGCAAUAGACCACAAAACCACAAGAACCACCAACCUGAGUUCAACCUUCCUGAUCCUUUAAUCCCUUGUCCAAUACCAUGCAUCAAAAAGAAACAUUCAUAACUCUUAAAGCCACAUUAUAUAUUCUCUGAGGUGUGCAAAUGAUUAAAAUUCUAUAUAGAUCAUUAUUCUAUUUUCACCCUUGUAACCAAUUUAUGGACAGGAAAAGUGGAACAGCAAUUUUAAGACCUCAAGUUUGUAUCCAUGGGCAAGUUUUCCUCUGUCUUCACCACAGUAUUCAACAGGAAGCCCCAAGGAGAUCUGUCAAGAUUCAGUGCAUGGCAGCCAAAUUAACUUGCUCAGGAUUUCUAGCAAGCCAAGGAUGGAUUGAGAUGCAGACCCAGAAUCCAUGUCUCUUAAUCUCUUGCUAAAAACAGAAUAGUUAAUGAAAAACCUUAGUAAAACAUUUCAGAGGAAAGAUUCAGUAAUGUUUUAAAUGUUAUGAUGUUGUUUCUCAGGGAAAACCAGGAAAGUGUAUUUCAGAUGUUGGGACCACGCCUUCCUCAUGCAACAGUAAUACCACAGAGUCAUAAAUCUAUGUCUUACUCACUAAACAAUAGCAUAAAAGGUGCUGGAUUAUGAAGGUGAAAGUGGUCCUUUAGACAGUCCUCAGACACCAGGAAGGCAGGUGUCAUUACCUACACACUCCAGAUGGGAAAUCCCAGGCAGAACAAUUGGGUAACACACCUCAGACCACAGGGAAAGUCCUUUCAGUAUCUGGGGGAGCAGACCCUUGCCCUGAGACUCACAUUCACGUCGUGCCUCUCAAACUGCACACUAGAGCAGUCUCCAUUUGGUAACAAGUCACUCCUACCCUCCAGUUUUUAUGAAGGGUAACACUGCAGAUGUUGACAGCUUGUGGGAUCUCGAUGAUCCCAUUAGCUCAGCAAAGGAAACACCAGUGUAGCAGUAAAGGUUACAGACUGAAGUGUAGGCUCACCAGAUUUUAAGGAACAUGCCAGAGGCAGAUAGUUAUAUAGUUAUGAAAGGGGAGCACUGUAAACCAAAACCACAUUCUACAAACCCCUUCCUUGUUUCGACAUAAUCACCCUGACUAUUUAUUAAAAACAUCACACAUCUUUACAUUUCAUCAUCUGCAUCAGCUCUGAAAUAUUUUGUGUUUGUUUUUGUUUAAAUAAAAAUAAAAAGGAAUCUUC